GCCCUCGUGGUCUAGUGGUAUGAUUCUCGCUUCGGGUGCGAGAGGUCCCGGGUUCUAUUCCCGGCGAGGCCC
rnacentral:tRNA from 1 species